rnacentral:rRNA from 1 species
UGCCAGCAGCCGCGGUAAUACGGAGGAUGCAAGCGUUAUCCGGAUUUAUUGGGUUUAAAGGGUUCGUAGGCGGGAAAUUAAGUCAGUGGUGAAAGCCUGCAGCUCAACUGUAGAACUGCCAUUGAUACUGAUUUUCUUGAAUAUAUAUGAAGUGGGCGGAAUACGUCAUGUAGCGGUGAAAUGCACAGAUAUGACGUAGAACACCGAUAGCGAAGGCAGCUCACUAAUAUAUUAUUGACGCUGAGGGACGAAAGCAUGGGGAGCGAACAGGAUUAGAUA